rnacentral:rRNA from 1 species
CAUUUGAGUGAGUGGCGAACUGGUGAGUAACACGUGGGAAACCUGCCCAGAAGCGGGGGAUAACACCUGGAAACAGAUGCUAAUACCGCAUAACAACUUGGACCGCAUGGUCCGAGUUUGAAAGAUGGCUUCGGCUAUCACUUUUGGAUGGUCCCGCGGCGUAUUAGCUAGAUGGUGGGGUAACGGCUCACCAUGGCAAUGAUACGUAGCCGACCUGAGAGGGUAAUCGGCCACAUUGGGACUGAGACACGGCCCAAACUCCUACGGGAGGCAGCAGUAGGGAAUCUUCCACAAUGGACGAAAGUCUGAUGGAGCAACGCCGCGUGAGUGAAGAAGGGUUUCGGCUCGUAAAACUCUGUUGUUAAAGAAGAACAUAUCUGAGAGUAACUGUUCAGGUAUUGACGGUAUUUAACCAGAAAGCCACGGCUAACUACGUGCCAGCAGCCGCGGUAAUACGUAGGUGGCAAGCGUUGUCCGGAUUUAUUGGGCGUAAAGCGAGCGCAGGCGGUUUUUUAAGUCUGAUGUGAAAGCCUUCGGCUCAACCGAAGAAGUGCAUCGGAAACUGGGAAACUUGAGUGCAGAAGAGGACAGUGGAACUCCAUGUGUAGCGGUGAAAUGCGUAGAUAUAUGGAAGAACACCAGUGGCGAAGGCGGCUGUCUGGUCUGUAACUGACGCUGAGGCUCGAAAGUAUGGGUAGCAAACAGGAUUAGAUACCCUGGUAGUCCAUACCGUAAACGAUGAAUGCUAAGUGUUGGAGGGUUUCCGCCCUUCAGUGCUGCAGCUAACGCAUUAAGCAUUCCGCCUGGGGAGUACGGCCGCAAGGCUGAAACUCAAAGGAAUUGACGGGGGCCCGCACAAGCGGUGGAGCAUGUGGUUUAAUUCGAAGCUACGCGAAGAACCUUACCAGGUCUUGACAUACUAUGCAAAUCUAAGAGAUUAGACGUUCCCUUCGGGGACAUGGAUACAGGUGGUGCAUGGUUGUCGUCAGCUCGUGUCGUGAGAUGUUGGGUUAAGUCCCGCAACGAGCGCAACCCUUAUUAUCAGUUGCCAGCAUUAAGUUGGGCACUCUGGUGAGACUGCCGGUGACAAACCGGAGGAAGGUGGGGAUGACGUCAAAUCAUCAUGCCCCUUAUGACCUGGGCUACACACGUGCUACAAUGGAUGGUACAACGAGUUGCGAACUCGCGAGAGUAAGCUAAUCUCUUAAAGCCAUUCUCAGUUCGGAUUGUAGGCUGCAACUCGCCUACAUGAAGUCGGAAUCGCUAGUAAUCGCGGAUCAGCAUGCCGCGGUGAAUACGUUCCCGGGCCUUGUACACA